rnacentral:rRNA from 1 species
UACGUAGGGAGCAAGCGUGGUCCGGAAUCAUUGGGCGUAAAGCGCGCGUAGGUGGCUUCGUAAGUCCGUUGUGAAAGUCAAAGGCUCAACCUUUGAAUGCCGAUGGAUACUGCGGAGCUAGAGUACGGAAGAGGCGAGUGGAAUUCCUGGUGUAGCGGUGGAAUGCGCAGAUAUCAGGAGGAACACCAAUAGCGAAGGCAGCUCGCUGGGACGUUACUGACACUAAGGCGCGAAAGCGUGGGGAGCGAACAGG